rnacentral:misc_RNA from 1 species
CCAAACUUGGUCAUUUAGAGGAAGUAAAAGUCGUAACAAGGUUUCCGUAGGUGAACCUGCGGAAGGAUCAUUAUUGAAUUUAUCUGGUCUGAGUUGUUGCUGGCUCUUUAGAGCAAUGUGCACGCUCAUUCCAACAUCCUUAACCACCUGUGAACUCUUGAUAUAGACCUGAAGCCAUCUUUCAAACUCUGUUUGGAACUCUGUUUGGCUUGGAGGAUUGCUGCGCAAAUGAAAUUAAACCAGCUUUGCUCUUCUUGGCUUGGGUUUAUAUUCUUUUCUUUCUACAAACACCUAGAAUGUAUUAGAAGGAUAUGAAUAAUAAAGGCCUUUCUUGGCCUUUUAUAAAAACAAAUACAACUUUCAACAACGGAUCUCUUGGCUCUCGCAUCGAUGAAGAACGCAGC